rnacentral:rRNA from 1 species
UAGUAAAUACUACAUGAAUAUGAUGUAGGUUCAGAUAGAACGCUAGAUAGAGACAUAACACAUGCUAAUGUAGAUAGCAGAUAUUUUUAUAAUAUUUGUUAAAUACGUGUACAGGUGAGUAUAUGGAUUAUAUAUCCUAAUAAAUGCAGGUAGUAGCUAGUAGUAGUAUUAAAUUAGAUUUUUUAAUAUUAUUACUGUAUAUAGCUAGCCUAUAACUUAUAUUCCAUGAUGGAAGUCAUAAGGAACACAUAGAAUUUUUUCUACUACUAUUAGUAGCAGCAGUGAGGAAUUAUUGACAAUGAUCUAACGAUUGAUCAUGUUAUCUAUUAAAGUUUUGAGAGAUUAUUAAACUACAUGUAGUGUAAUAUUUUUACUCAAUAAUGCUUUAUUCUAAAAUUCAAUAAUGAUGAAUGAAUAAUUUUAAGCUAUAUAUAGUGUAUAAAUUAUAGAAUUAGUACUUACAAAGAUAUGUGCCAGCAGUAGCGGUCAUACAUACAGUGCAAGCGUUUAUCGACAUUGGUUUAAAGGAUUCGUAGGUGUAUGUAGUAGAGUUUUUCUUUAUUUUUAAUAUAGAAUUUUUCUACUGUAUUAAGUAAUAUAUAUAGAAAGAUAAAAUAUUAUGACAUAUAUAAGACUGCAAGGUAAAUACAGUGUUAAAAUUGACACUAAGGAAUGAAAGCUAUAGUAGCGACAUGGAUUCGAUACCCAUUUAGUUAUAGCUGUAAACUAUGUGUACAAAGAAUAUGCUAUAUAUAGUAUAUGAUUAAAUAAAUAUAAAGUACACCACCAGCUUAGUACGUUUGCAAAAAUGAAAUUUAAUACAUUAGACGGUUAUAUACAUAUACAGUGGAUUAUGCUGUUUAAUUGGACGAUACUCCUAGUACCUUACCAUAGCUUGAAUUUUAAUAAUUUUUUUAUUAUAACAGGCGUUACAUUGUUGUCGUCAGUUCAUGCUUAAUGGUCUUUUAUUAAGUUAGACAAUGAACGAAAUCCUUGAAUUUUCUUACUAUAUACAGUAUAUAAAUAUCUAUUUUAUAAUUAAUAAUUCAUUCAGGAGGGUAAGCUAUAUAUAGUAACAAUUAUUUAUUAAUUUAAAUAAUGUAUAUACUUAUUAAAUACAGUAUGAAAUUUAUGUAGUUAUAUAAUUUAUUAUUUAUAUGCUAUAUGUAAUAGAAAUAUUGAUAUAUUAUAGAAAUAUAAUAUGAAAAAAGGUUGAAGACUAAUCCUCAUGAUCCUUAUGCUAUGGGCAACAGGUGUAAUACAAAUUUGUAAUCAAUUAUAUGUGUAGCUAUAUACAGUAUUGAAUUUACAAAAUAAAGAAAAAUUUCUUAAAUUGGAUUAUAGCCUGAUACUUGGCUAUAUGAAACAGGAACUGUUAGUAAUCAUAAGUUAGUAUACUAUGGUGAAUAUUUCAUAUAUUUCGCACUAAUCACUCAUCAAUAGCAUAAAUACUAAUACUAGUAUAUGCGUUAUGAUUUUAUUAAUUUAAAAAUAUAAUGGAAUACUAGCUAUAUAAGCUGAUAUGCUAUAAGUUGAAAUACAGUUCGAGUAAGGGAACUUGCUCGGGAUUUAUAAUUACAUUAUCUAUUCUUUUAUCU